rnacentral:lncRNA from 1 species
AAGACGACAAUACCAGUUUAGAGCUUCGCCAGAGAUGGUGGAGGGGAAGAGAAGACAUCACUCUUCGUCAGUGUGCAUCUGAUAUGCUAUAGUGGACUCAAAAAGGUUAAGGUGUUCAAUCGGAUCCUCCUUUCCAGUAUAUGAUGUGAGAAUUUCUUGACACACAAAUUAAACCCUCUUUUUGACAAUUGUAGUAUAGAUAUAAGUAGGGUAUCGUUCUAGGCCGGGGAUUAGGAGGGCUUGCUAAAACCUCUAAAUUAAUUCAAAAAUAUUAAAUAAGACUCAAGGACACAAAAUUAGGCUAAAAACUCUAAUAACUCGAAACACACUUAAAA